rnacentral:rRNA from 1 species
GAUGAACGCUCGCGGGAGGCCUAACACAUGCAAGCCGAGCGGUAGAGAUCUUUCGGGAUCUUGAGAGCGGCGUACGGGUGCGGAACACGUGUGCAACCUGCCUUUAUCAGGGGGAUAGCCUUUCGAAAGGAAGAUUAAUACCCCAUAAUAUAUUGAAUGGCAUCAUUUGAUAUUGAAAACUCCGGUGGAUAGAGAUGGGCACGCGCAAGAUUAGAUAGUUGGUAGGGUAACGGCCUACCAAGUCAGUGAUCUUUAGGGGGCCUGAGAGGGUGAUCCCCCACACUGGUACUGCGACACGGACCAGACUCCUACGGGAGGCAGCAGUGAGGAAUAUUGGACAAUGGGUGAGAGCCUGAUCCAGCCAUCCCGCGUGAAGGACGACGGCCCUAUGGGUUGUAAACUUCUUUUGUAUAGGGAUAAACCUUUCCACGUGUGGAAAGCUGAAGGUACUAUACGAAUAAGCACCGGCUAACUCCGUG